UACGAGGGGUGCAAGCGUUGCUCGGAAUUAUUGGGCGUAAAGGGUAGGUAGGUGGUCUCAUUUGUCUGGGGUGAAAUCCUUGAGCUUAACUCAAGAACUGCCCCAGAAACGGUGGGACUCGAGUACUGGAGAGGGUCGUGGAAUUCCCGGUGUAGCGGUGAAAUGCGUAGAGAUCGGGAGGAACACCAGAGGCGAAGGCGGCGACCUGGACAGUUACUGACACUCAACUACGAAAGCGUGGGGAGCAAACAGG
rnacentral:rRNA from 1 species